GGGUGCUAUACAUGCAGUGAGCGAUGAAGAUUGGUGCUUGCACCAAUUUGAAGAGCAGCGAACGGGUGAGUAACGCGUGGGGAAUCUGCCUUUGAGCGGGGGACAACAUUUGGAAACGAAUGCUAAUACCGCAUAACAACUUUAAACACAAGUUUUAAGUUUGAAACGAUGCAAUUGCAUCACUCAAAGAUGAUCCCGCGUUGUAUUAGCUAGUUGGUGAGGUAAAGGCUCACCAAGGCGAUGAUACAUAGCCGACCUGAGAGGGUGAUCGGCCACAUUGGGACUGAGACACGGCCCAAACUCCUACGGGAGGCAGCAGUAGGGAAUCUUCGGCAAUGGACGAAAGUCUGACCGAGCAACGCCGCGUGAGUGAACGAAGGUUUUCGGAUCGUAAAACUCUGUUGGUAGAGAAGAACGUUGGUGAGAGUGGAAAGCUCAUCAAGUGACGGUAACUACCCAGAAAGGGACCGGGU
rnacentral:rRNA from 1 species